rnacentral:rRNA from 1 species
GAUGAACGCUAGCGGGAGGCCUAACACAUGCAAGCCGAGCGGUAGAGUUUCUUCGGAAACUUGAGAGCGGCGCACGGGUGCGUAACACGUGUGCAACCUACCUUUAUCUGGGGGAUAGCCUUUCGAAAGGAAGAUUAAUACCCCAUAAUAUAAUGAUUGGCAUCAAUUAUUAUUGAAAACUCCGGUGGAUAGAGAUGGGCACGCGCAAGAUUAGAUAGUUGGUGAGGUAACGGCUCACCAAGUCAAUGAUCUUUAGGGGUCCUGAGAGGGAGAUCCCCCACACUGGUACUGAGGCACGGACCAGACUCCUACGGGAGGCAGCAGUGAGGAAUAUUGGACAAUGGGUGAGAGCCUGAUCCAGCCAUCCCGCGUGAAGGAUGACGGUCCUAGGGAUUGUAAACUUCUUUUGUACAGGGAUAAACCUACCCUCGUGAGGGUAGCUGAAGGUACUGUACGAAUAAGCACCGGCUAACUCCGUG